GACAGAGGGGGCAAGCGUUGUCCGGACUGACUGGGCGUAAAGCGCACGUAGGCGGACUACUAAGUCAGGGGUGAAAUCCCGGGGCUCAACCCCGGAACUGCCUUUGAUACUGAUAGUCUCGAGUCCGGAAGAGGUGAGUGGAAUUCCGAGUGUAGAGGUGAAAUUCGUAGGUAUUCGGAGGAACACCAGUGGCGAAGGCGGCUCACUGGUCCGGUACUGACGCUGAGGUGCGAAAGCGUGGGGAGCAAACAGG
rnacentral:rRNA from 1 species